ensembl:lncRNA
GAGGGCCUGAGUGGGGGCACGUGGGGCAAGAGAGGGAGGCUGCCAUGCUGCUCUAUCCCUGCCGCUCCGAGUGGCAUUUCUUUUCUGCACGUUUAAUAUGCAAUUAUUUAAUGGGGUGUAUUAGAGCAUAACGGCCAUAACUUAAGACCUUUCAGUCAAGAUUAAACAGGUGCCGAGGCUUUCUUUUCAAGGCUGGGAACAGCUGUGAGCCUCCCCUUCUCAUACGUGAUUACAGUACACGCGGGGGCCUUUCCAUGCCCUCCCCCUCCGUGCCGCGCGCUCCCUCAAAGGCCCGUUUUUGUCUUCCCGCAAGACACCGUCCAGGCAAUUCACAGGGAGCAGGAGAAAAGAAGCGUGAUUUAUUAGCUCUGGCAUGGAGGGCAAGGUUUUGACCUCAGGUGUGAAUCUGAGAAAAAUAUUAUUUUCCUGACAGCCAGCUCUCUCCGAGCGAAUUAAAACUGCUAUUGUGAGGAAAUGUAUUAAAGCCAUUUCAGCUUUUAUGACAAUAUCAGCACGGCUACUUUACGGAGCGCCUAGGAUGUGGACUUGCCCCAAGGUGCUUUAUAAUCAUCUGUUUGAAGGGAGAGAAUUUGCCUGCAGAGAUGAAUCAAUGAGUGUCUUUUAUGAAACAUUAAUGACUGCUUUUGUAGAUGUAAAUUCCGGGGUAUGUUCCUGCAUCUCUCCGUGCUGUCCUGCAGCUGCAGCUCAAGCCCGUUUGCCGUUAGUGAGGAUCAUCAUCCAGCAGCACAGUUUCGCUGGAGGAGCUUUACAUCAUCUCCUAAUGUAAACAAUAUUGUAAGAGAGUCCGACAGCCCCACAGGAUUUUCAUUGGGCGAUGAUUGAUGUGGAAAGGGAUGGAGCUGCAGUGAUUCUGCAUCAGUCACAGCUCUCGCUUGGCUCUCAAACUGACCCUGUUAGCACAGUCUGACUUGGAUCAUUUGUCUCAGAAGUACCAAGGGAUUUUAAAACAGCUGUGGAUUCAACCAUUUCAAAUGGGAACAUAUUUUUGGUUUGUGGCCAUCCCGUUGCUCCUCCCUUCCUCCUUCUGCAGGUCCCUUCCCCGGUGACAUCUGUUCCCAGGAAUGAUGAGACAAGAUUUGGAGCAAUUACUAUAGUUUGUGUUUCCUGACCCAGCUUGCUGUGUGCGUGUUAAGAGCACGAGCGCUGAAAAUCAACAGGGUGUAGAAGGUAACACGGCUCCCCACCUCAAAGCUAACGGUAUUUUGCUAUAUGCACAAGAGCUCUGGAUCUUAAUUUUCUGGCUCCUUUCUCAAUUGUACAGUUUUCAGCUAUUGCCUAAUGAAGCAUGCUUGGCUCCCAUAAUGUGAUGUUAUAUUAUCUCUAUGCUCUUGUUAAAGGCCUUAUACUUCACCCCAAACACCUGUGGCACCUAUGCAAGAAGAAAAGCUCUGAUGUGCCAACUGGACUCUGAUUUUGUGGCAGGACAAGCCAGGCCUUGAAAACACUCCUCUGCCUUCCACAGGGCCAAGCACAGCAGGGAGCUCGGGGCGCCUGGCUCCUGAGGUGGAGGAAGGCAGGCUCUGUGCUGCAGGAUGGAUGUCACAGCGAGAGGGAGAGCCGAGUUAUUUCCGCAAUCCCUUCACAUAAUGGAUGGGGAUGUCAAGAUGCCGCCAUCUGAAGUAUGAGCACCUUGGAACCAAACAAAAAAUGACUGGCGGUGUCAGCUUUCAGGAAUGUAUGAGCAGAGGUGGUGGGGAGCUGCACAUGCGGCACAGGCUUUCUCCAGCAUCUUCCUUUCAGCACAAGGGAUGACCUUGGCCCCUCUCCUCUUCCUCCACAGACUGUCACGCACAGAUCUCCUGGUCUGAACCCUGUGCAUGCUCGCUGCAACGUGAGCAGCUCUCAGCAGGCGGUGCCUCAGGCAGGAGGCCAGCUCAGGGCGGAGUUGUGGCUCCAAUGUGCGGAUCUGCCAGAGGGCUUUGAACAGAUCUGAGCAUCUGCAAAUCCUGCCUGGCUUCUGAUCCCUCUCUUUGCUGUCAAUUGCUCGUGUGGGAUGUGAUAUACAGAUCCACUGGGCAGCAUCCCCUGUACAAACCCAAGUGAAGGCUGAAGCAGGGCUUAGUGCUAAGCACAGAAUGGCUGCAGUCACACCUCAAAGUCUCCUGGCCAGAGGACAAAGCACUGACCGCAUCAUCACCACCACCUCCAUCAUUUUGAGUAACUCUGACGGUGAGCUCUGAGUACACUGAAGAGCUGUCUGCUCUCCAUCCAUCACAGUCCUUCUCUCUCAAAGUGGGGACUCAGGUGCAAAAAGCCUCAUUGCUCACAUCUUGGUCUUGGAUGGCCAGAAAGCCUCACCACCAAGGCUGUAGUGGUGCUAUAUGGCAUUAGUAGGAAAUUGCAACUCACAUUUUCCCUAAAAAAGCUACUGACCGCAGUGAGUCAAGGUGCUGGAGAGCACUGCUCUCCGUUUGGAACAUUUCCAGUCUGGUCUCUAUCAGAGCUUUGACCCACAGAAGGCCACGUGAAGCAGAACGGGAGUUUUUCCGAGUUCCUGUAUUUGGUGCCUUGGGCUCCAUGGUGAGCAAUGGCUUGGAAAUAGUAUUACAUCAGAAGAGCUGUGACAAGAAUUACCUGCCUCUGAAUAGACAUUCCUCAAAUGCUGCCCAAGGGUUUUUUUUCCGUAGAGACCCCUCAAAGCCUGGACACUGCUCCUCCCUGUCCCAGCCGAGCCACGAGAUUACUGCUCAUUAAAUCUUCCAUGCAAAAUGAGUAUUGGAUCCUUGGAUCAGUCCCCACCCAUGGCCUGUCAGGAUACUUCAGGGGCUGGAGAGUAGUUCUGAUCUGCAGCCCCAUGUCACCAACAAUCCCAUAAUGUAAUGGAAGUUCAUUUCUAGGGGAGCAGAGCUGCUCUGGCAUUCAGAUCAGAAUCUGAUUAGAAUUCAGUUUAGUCUACCAAGGUAAUAACGAGGUCUAGGAUCACAAUCUGCUGGAAUAACUUAGUAAGCCAUGUGAGGUCACUAUUGCUUCUUGAAAAUAUGGCUUAAACAUAAUUUACCUGGCAGUAACUUGACCUGGAAGAGAGAGGUUUAUCUUCUUGGCAUGCUGUAUCUGGGUAGCUUGACAACCUCUACAUAAAUCUGAGACCUUUCAUUCUACAGCUGGCUGUUAUUACUUAUAAUCUCUAAAUGCAAAAAGUAUUCCUCCCAGAGACCCCUCUCUUUUCCUUUCUUUCCUC